UUGUGGAAAGCUUAUAGCAUUACUCUAGAGACACGCCCAGCAUUUGCUGAAUACCAUGAUUUGCUUGAAGAGUUGGAAGGAAAGCUUUCAAGCUUUCUUAUAUCUGGAGCUACUCGAGAAUCUUGAAGGAUGUUUGAAAUCCAAGGUUUAGCUACUCCUCUCAUUAAUAUAUUCGUGAUUCUGGAAGUUUUGGCUCUCCAUCUGGGGCAGAGGGGAGAUUUUAGAGUUCUAUUCGCAUCAUGAGCCGCAUAUGGCAUGAGCAUCGUGAUUAUAGUCUUACACAAAUUAUUGCAAGCAUUCUGUGUAUAUAAACACCACACCAUGUUUGCUGCCUAUUUUAAUUUUUUCACUUAUAGAAUGUGUUAUUUUCUUUGCUAAAUUGAGAGGAAGAGAGAUGAACGGCUCUUGUAGGAUUUAGUUAUAAAGAAUUUGUUUGAACAAUGCAUAGAUGGUUAAAUUUUGCUGUUGAAAUACACUCGUUGAAAGUAAUGUUUUUAUAAAUUUGUUUAGAUUGUAAUCAUACCAUGAAUUAUAUGCUGUAAAUAUAUGAUUCUAUUUGUAAUA